GACGAACGCUGGCGGCGUGCUUAACACAUGCAAGUCGAACGGAAAGGCCCUGCUUUUGUGGGGUGCUCGAGUGGCGAACGGGUGAGUAACACGUGAGUAACCUGCCCUUGACUUUGGGAUAACUUCAGGAAACUGGGGCUAAUACCGGAUAGGAGCUCCUGCUGCAUGGUGGGGGUUGGAAAGUUUCGGCGGUUGGGGAUGGACUCGCGGCUUAUCAGCUUGUUGGUGGGGUAGUGGCUUACCAAGGCUUUGACGGGUAGCCGGCCUGAGAGGGUGACCGGCCACAUUGGGACUGAGGUACGGCCCAGACUCAUACGGGAGGCAGCAGUGGGGAAUAUUGCACAAUGGGCGGAAGCCUGAUGCAGCAACGCCGCGUGCGGGAUGACGGCCUUCGGGUUGUAAACCGCUUUCGCCUGUGACGAAGCGUGAGUGACGGUAAUGGGGAAAGAAGCACCGGCUAACUACGU
rnacentral:rRNA from 1 species